UACAGAGGUGGCAAGCGUUGCUCGGUGUCACUGGGCUUAAAGGGCGCGUAGGCUGUGCGGUACGGUUCGGGUGAAAUCCCUCGGCUCAACCGAGGAACCGCCUGGGCGACGGCCGUGCUAGGCAGCAUCAGGGGAAGAUGGAACUCCCGGUGGAGCGGUGAAAUGCGUAGAUAUCGGGAGGAACGCCGGUGGCGAAAGCGAUCUUCUGGGGUGCUUGCGACGCUGAGGCGCGAAAGCUAGGGGAGCAAACGGG
rnacentral:rRNA from 1 species